rnacentral:rRNA from 1 species
UGGCUCAGAUUGAACGCUAGCGGGAUGCCUUACACAUGCAAGUCGAACGGCAGCACGGACUUCGGUCUGGUGGCGAGUGGCGAACGGGUGAGUAAUGUAUCGGAACGUGCCUAGUAGCGGGGGAUAACUACGCGAAAGCGUAGCUAAUACCGCAUACGCCCUACGGGGGAAAGCAGGGGAUCGCAAGACCUUGCACUAUUAGAGCGGCCGAUAUCGGAUUAGCUAGUUGGUGGGGUAACGGCUCACCAAGGCGACGAUCCGUAGCUGGUUUGAGAGGACGACCAGCCACACUGGGACUGAGACACGGCCCAGACUCCUACGGGAGGCAGCAGUGGGGAAUUUUGGACAAUGGGGGAAACCCUGAUCCAGCCAUCCCGCGUGUGCGAUGAAGGCCUUCGGGUUGUAAAGCACUUUCGGCAGGAAAGAAACGUCAUGGGUUAAUACCCUGUGAAACUAACGGUACCUGCAGAAUAAGCACCGGCUAACUACGUGCCAGCAGCCGCGGUAAUACGUAGGGUGCAAGCGUUAAUCGGAAUUACUGGGCGUAAAGCGUGCGCAGGCGGUUCGGAAAGAAAGAUGUGAAAUCCCAGAGCUUAACUUUGGAACUGCAUUUUUAACUACCGAGCUAGAGUGUGUCAGAGGGAGGUGGAAUUCCGCGUGUAGCAGUGAAAUGCGUAGAUAUGCGGAGGAACACCGAUGGCGAACGCAGUCCUCCUGGGAUAACACUGACGCUCAUGCACGAAAGCGUGGGGAGCAACAGGAUUAGAUACCCUGGUAGUCCACGCCCUAAACGAUGUCAACUAGCUGUUGGGGCCUUCGGGCCUUGUAGCGCAGCUAACGCGUGAAGUUGACCGCCUGGGGAGUACGUCGCAAGAUAAAACUCAAAGGAUGACGGGACCCGCCAAGCGGUGGAUGAUGUGGAUAUCGAUGCACGCGAAAACUACCUACCUGACUGUCUAGAUGUCGAAGAUGCUGGCUCGCAGAGAAACUGAACAGGGCUGCAUGCUGCCUCACCUGGUCUGAAGGUUGGUUAGUUCGACUAGGCAACCCUGCCUAUGUCCACAAA